rnacentral:lncRNA from 1 species
AUUAGAGGUGUGUAUUUAAAAUUUCUCUUUUUUGAUAGGGUUAGAAAUUUUUUCUUGAUAUUUUUCAAUUUAUAGUAAAAAAGUAAUAUUAUAGUCGAACUUCAAAUCUCUAAUAUGACAUCAUCAAUCGGCUAGAAUUUGAAAAAAGAAAUAUUGAAUAUACAUAAUUUUUUCAAAGUUAAAAAAUUAGUAAAAGUACAAUAUCAUAAGAAAUAGUUUUUAGUCUGCAAGAUAAAAACUAAAGUUGAUAAAAAAUAAAAAUAAAACCAAAUGAAUCGGUAAAUAGUAUGUGAUUACGACAGUGGUCAAAAUUCAGAUGAUGAAUUUUGGAGAAGAGGUUUUUAUUUCUUUCUUUUGGAUGCGUAAUAAUAGUGGAGAAGAGUUAGGUUUUUUUUUUAUCAAAAUAAGAGUUAGGUUUUAGUAAAGUGGAAGUUCUUUUUUUUUUUUUUUUCUUUUUUUCCCUAAUAAUUGAUGGAUGUUUUUGUAAUUAAAC